ACAGUGAUGGUUCAGCGGUAGGAUCCUCACCUUCUAUGUGGGAGCCCCAGGUUCGAUCCCCGGCCAGUGUA
rnacentral:tRNA from 1 species